UACUGAAUACUUAAAAAAAAAAAAAAUUCUCUGCUGAAACAAAAUAAGGAAACUCUCCACCCCCAGCAUUUCGUUGAUAUAAUUGGCAUUCAUUUAAUUGCUAGUAAAGGAAGAGAGGGAGAGACCUAGAGAGAGAGAGAAACAGAGAUGUUUAUAUACUCACCCAAGUCUAGGAAACGCCCUGUCAUGUUCCUAUCUUCGUUAUUCACAGUGAGCACGCUCUGGCGAUUCCCACAGGAAAGUAACAUGUGCAAUUUUCUUGUGGCGUCAGAGUGUUUUCCUGAUUACUUGGAUCACAGAACACACUCCUUUUUUUUUUUUUUUUUUUUUUUUGCAUCGCAUCAAGUUUUGCGUGGCAUCAGCGCCUUGGAACUACCGUUUUGAGGGGGACAUUCCUGGGGAAUUGUUGUCUUGAUAAACUGCGGUAGUUUUUCUUCCUGGUGGGGAUUUCAGAGACCACGGAAAGUCGGGAGCUUCUGGUGGCUCCUGCAAACACACUCGACUUCAUGAAAGAGGAACGAAACCCGUCAACGAAGAUGUACUACUUCUCUUUCCUCCAGCCUGUUCACUUUGCAGCGAGAACCUCAAGAGCUCUCCGAGGCUUCGCUUUAAGGGAUGCAUUCUUUUCUGCGAAUAGCAGGCUGGCGAUUCUCUCCUCUUCGCGGCUCUACAGCCGGACGUAGCUGACGGUGGUGCAGAGCCGAGGGGGCUGGCCGUGUGCUGGGACUUUGCUGCUGCAGGCGUGCUCUGCGGAUGAACAGCUUGGUAAGGACGCAGGGUCUCAGGCCCCGCUCGGCCCUCCUGAGUCAGAGCCAGUGUUUGAAUUAGGUGUCCCGGGGAUUGUGCGCAAACGAGAGAGCUAGAUGCGCUCGACCAGGAGGCACCAGGCUAAUAUAAAGAGACUCGGCCUCAACCCAACUUGCAGGGCAGUGACUUUAUUGUGUGAGGUCCCUCACUCUAAUCAGAGCAUGACACAGGCACUGUAUUCAGGAAUCGUAUGCAUUUGCAACACAGGGUCAUUUCUUAAUAGCUUCUGGGCUAUUAGCCUCAGGAUGGCAGGAGGUGGAAGCCGGUCAGGGUUAUAAACUACCAACCAAUGGCUUUAAAUUGAAUUCUCUUCUAACGUCCUACCCAGAAGUAGUUAAAAGCAUGGGUCAGAAGGAGACUUCCUUGUUCUGCCAGUAGCUAGCUGUGUGACUUUGGACAAGUUACUACAACUUUCUGUGCCGUAAUUUACUCAUCGGUAAAGGGAGAAUGAGGAUAGUUCCUGCUUCUUAGACCCAGGGUUGGCUGCAAAAUUUGUAAGACCUAGCACUAAUUGAAAAUGUUGGGCCCCUUGUUCAAAAGUUAUUGAGGAUUUCAAGAUGGCCCCUCUGGGCUCAGGGACCUAGGCGAUAUGAGGCUGUCCUUCCUCAAGUUGUUAGCAUAAUUGCUGUGCCUAGGACAUGGUAGGAAUUCAGGGAAUUCCAGUAUUAAUAAGGCUUUGAGAAACAUACAUUACUUAUCUUAUUUUAUAAAGGAAAGGACUGAGACUCUGGAAAGUAAAACAACUUACCCAACAAGGUCAGACAGCCCAGUGGCUGAGCCAAGUCUCACCCUAGGUCUGCUUCCAGUGUGAAUGGGGACGAAUCCUUGGCAGGUGAGUAGGAAGGAACCUGUCCUUGCCCCGCCAGAGGGGAAGAGUGCCUGGGGUCCAGGAAUCCACCCACUGCCCUUCAGUGUCGAGAGGACAGCAGAGAGUCGCAGAUCUUCCCUCUUUGGCAACUGGGGACAAUUACCAAGUCAAAGGCAGGACUGAGAGCCUUUGAUUCAACGUGGGCUGUUUAUGAGAUCCCAGCUGGACUUUAGCUUAUGUUGAUCAGAAACUGAAGGCUGAGCACCGUUUCUCUGACUCCAUCGUAAGUGGAGAACCAUGUUCUUUCCCCCCGCCCCACCCAUCAGGCGGGAAUCUUUCCUUUCUUUGGGCUGUGAUGUUUCCUGGCCUCCAAAAAGUGAAGAAAAAUCUGAAAAACUCUCUUCAGAAGACUGGCUGAUUAGCCUGGUUAAGAAAUAAUUGCACGUCCAACCAGAAGCCCUAGAGAAGGCCAUUUACGUGUCCCAAGCAUCUUUCUGCUCCAAGACCUUGGCAUCCAUCUUCAAGACCACUCAUGAUCCAAAAUGGCUACUUUAGCUCUGUGCAUCAUAUCCUUAUUCCAAGCCACAGAAGGAUAAAACAG